ACUAAUCUGCAGUGGUGCGCUCUGGUCUUCCCUGAGGGAGGAUUGUCCUUCCUGGUCCUGUUGAACCACGUGAUGCACUCUGGCUGAUGAAAUGGUGGUGACUCUUCUGCUGGAAGGCCUACUGGACACUUUUCCUGGUUCCUGACUGGACCCUAACCUGAUACAACACCUGAAGCACUGAGAACAGCAUCAGGCACACAGUAAGCGCUAUGUGAGUGUGAAUUUUGCAUUUGUUGAAGUAGGUAAAAAAGCGAACACUGCCCAUCAGAACUCUGUGAGGGGCACUAUCUACGUGUCUGACAUCCAUCAAGGAUAACACAAACUUCACGGUGCAGAAAGAUGGCUGUCUUCAGGGGAAACGCCGAUCCACACCCGUAACUGUCACUGGAACACCCCAACCCGGGCGUAGUUCAAAGCAAAUGAUGACACAGCUUCCAUAGCAUUAGCAAUUUUUUAUUUUUCCUUUUUUUGUUGCAUAGGAAAUGCAGUACUUGCUUCCAGUAAUUGUAUUGUAAUGUGAGAAGGUGGUAGCACUAAUGGUUGAAUACAAGAGUUAAACUAAUCCACACCAGCUCAAAAAACCUGUGGAGAUUUAGUUGAAUAAGAAUGGACGCCCACAGUGAUUCUCAACCAAUUACAAAUUUUCACAGAACACAGUAAAACUAAAAGGGUAACUAUGAGAGUCAAUACAAGUACACUAGAGGCACAGCGGGCCCGGCUCAUAAAAAACAAGGGUCAAACCAACGUAUUAACACGGGGGGUGUUCAGUUUCACAACAGAUCUCUCAGCCCUGGACGUGUUUGAUCCCCUCCCCCAACGAUUCGAAAUGAAAAAAAAAAAAA